GAUGAACGCUGGCGGCGUGCCUAAUACAUGCAAGUCGAGCGAACAGAUGAGGAGCUUGCUCCUCUGACGUUAGCGGCGGACGGGUGAGUAACAUGUGGAUAACCUACCUAUAAGACUGGGAUAACUUCGGGAAACCGGAGCUAAUACCGGAUAAUAUAUUGAACCGCAUGGUUCAAUAGUUAAAGAUGGUUUUGCUGUCACUUAUAGAUGGACCCGCGCCGCAUUAGCUAGUUGGUAAGGUAACGGCUUACCAAGGCAACGGUGCGUAGCCGACCUGAGAGGGUGAUCGGCCACACAGGAACUGACACACGGUCCAGACUCCUACGGGAGGCAGCAGUAGGGAAUCUUCCGCAAUGGGCGAAAGCCUGACGGAGCAACGCCGCGUGAGUGAUGAAGGUCUUCGGAUCGUAAAACUCUGUUAUUAGGGAAGAACAAAUGUGUAAGUAACGAUGCACGUCUUGACGGUACCUAAUCAGAAAGCCACGGCUAACUACGUG
rnacentral:rRNA from 1 species